AAUAUACAUACUGUGGAUCACUUCAGAAGCUUAAAAAGGUACCAUAAGUAAACACAUCUGAGAGGUUCUUUUUCAGGAGACUGUGGUAUGAAAAGCACCAAACACUUAAGGCAAGAAGCUUUUUCAAAUAAUUCUGUUCUGGCUUGAAAUGCAGAACCUGAUCCUGAGCCUGCUAAGUCCUUGGAAAGAACUCUGCUGUCCAUGUUGUCCCCAGCUUGGUUGGUUGUCCAUGCAUGACUAAGUGAUUCAGCAAUGAAAAAGAGAUCAAAGUAAGUUUUAAAAAACUUAAGUAAAAAAAAAAUGUAUAGAAAUAUGUAUUUAAUAAUAA
rnacentral:lncRNA from 1 species